rnacentral:rRNA from 1 species
UACGUAGGGUGCUAGCGUUGUCCGGAAUUAUUGGGCGUAAAGAGCGUGUAGGCGGCCAGGUAGGUCUGCUGUGAAAACUCGAGGCUCAACCUCGAGACGUCGGCGGAAACCAUCUGGCUAGAGUCCGGAAGAGGAGAGUGGAAUUCCUGGUGUAGCGGUGAAAUGCGCAGAUAUCAGGAAGAACACCCGUGGCGAAGGCGGCUCUCUGGGACGGUACUGACGCUGAGACGCGAAAGCGUGGGGAGCGAACAGG